UCGCCGCCCCCUCCCCUGCGCUCCGCUCCCCUCCCAGCCGGCGGCCGCCGCUGAGGGGCCGCCUACGCCAUGGUGCUGGAAUCCGUGGUGGCGGAUCUGCUAAACCGCUUCCUGGGCGACUAUGUGGAGAACCUGAACAAGUCUCAGCUCAAGCUGGGCAUAUGGGGGGGUAAUGUGGCACUUGACAAUUUACAGAUAAAGGAGAAUGCAUUGAGUGAACUGGAUGUACCUUUUAGAAUAAAAGUUGGUCAGAUAGAUAAACUUACUCUGAAGAUUCCUUGGAAGAAUCUCUAUGGGGAGGCAGUUGUUGCAACUCUAGAAGGCUUGUAUCUUCUGAUAGUUCCUGGAGCAAGUGUUAAAUAUGAUGCAGAGAAGGAAGAAAAGUACUUGCAGGAUAAUAAACAAAAGGAACUGGCAAGAAUUGAGGAAGCCUUGCAGAAAGCAGCAGAAAAAGGCACCCAUUCACAAGAUUCCUUGUAUGGGUUGGAGAGCCUGGUUUACAAGGACACCAAGCCUGGACGUAAGCGUAAAAAGUACAAAAAGCAUUUUAAGAGACCCUUUAGAGGUCGUGAUCACUCAAAAGACAAACCAAAGGAAGAGAAGAAGGAUACUUUCUUAGAAAAGCUUGCAACUCAAGUUAUAAAAAAUGUACAAGUCAAAAUCACAGGCAUUCAUGUUAAAUACGAAGAUGAUAUCACAGACCCACAGUGCCCGAUUUCCUUGGGAAUGACGUUGGGGGAGCUGAGUUUACUGACAACAAACGAGAACUGGACACCUUCCAUUCUGAAUGAAGCUGCAAAAAUAAUAUACAAGCUUUUGUGCCUGGACAGCCUCAGUGCUUAUUGGAACAUAAACAGCAAAAUGUAUUAUCAUGGCUCCCGUGAACAAAUACUGGACCAGCUGAAAAAAGGAAUUCCCUGUCAUGGUCACCAGCCUGAAGACUACCAGUACAUUUUCAGACCAGUGUCAGCCUCUGCAAGACUCUAUAUCAACCCAUAUGCAGAAGUAGAACUGAAAACUCCUAAGAUUGAUUGCAAUGUAGAAGUACAGAGAAUUGUCAUUGAAUUCACUAAGCCACAGUACCUCAGCAUGAUAGACCUGCUGGAGUCCAUAGAUUACAUGGUUCGCAAUGCACCCUACAGAAGAUUUAGGCCAAAUGUGCCUCUCCAUAAAAAUGCCAAGGAAUGGUGGAAAUAUGCAGGUAACAGUGUUCUGGAAGUUCACAUCAGAAGGCGUACUCGAAUGUGGUCGUGGAGUAACAUCAAACAGCACAGGCAGCUUCUGAAGAGUUACAAAAAUGUGUACAAGAACAAGCUCACACAGAGCAAACUGUCAGAAGAAACACAGAAGCAAAUCCAGGACCUGGAAAGAAAACUUGAUGUCUUCAAUACAAUCUUAGCAAGACAACAAGCACAAGUUGAGACAAUAAGAUCAGGACAAAAGCUACUGAAGAAGAAGAGCGCUGAAGCAGAAAAGAAAAGUGGAGGAUGGUUUAGUGGUUUUUGGGGUAAAAGAGAAUCUAAGAUUAAAGAAGAUGAAGAACCACUCGUGCCUGAAACUCUUGAUGAACUAAUGACACCAGAGGAGAAAGCUAAACUUUAUACUGCUAUUGGAUAUAGUGACAGCUCCCAUCACCUUUCAUUACCAAAGCAGUAUGUUGCCCAUGUUGUGACACUGAAGCUGUUAAGCACUUCUCUUACAAUUAAAGAAGACAAGAAUGUGGCAGAAACUCUAAAAGUGCAGAUGAUUGAUCUGAGCACCAAAAUAUCCCAGCGCCCAGGAGCACAAGCCAUUAAGGUUGAAGCAAAGCUUGAAAACUGGUAUGUGACGGGCCUGAGACAAGAAAACAUUGUGCCAUCUCUUGUGGCUUCCAUAGGGGAUAGCAAAUCUUCUCUGCUUAAAAUUGAGUUUGAUAUUAACCCAGAGGACAGCACAGCUGACCAGAGCCUUACUAUUGAAUCACAGCCUGUGGAAGUAAAAUAUGAUGCAAGAACAAUAAAUGCAAUGGUAGAAUUCUUUCAGACAAGUAAGGGAAUGGAUCUUGAAAGAUUAACAACAGCCACCUUAAUGAAACUGGAGGAAAUCAAGGAGAGAACUGCUACAGGAUUAGCUCACAUUAUUGAAAUGAGGAAAGUCCUUGACUUGAGGAUUAAUCUGAAACCUUCCUACCUGGUGGUUCCACGGACUGGUUUCUACCAUGAAAAUUCAGAUUUGCUGAUUCUGGACUUUGGUACAUUUCAGCUGAACAGCAUAAAUCAAGGCAGUAGUGAAGCUUCUAACUUUUCAUCUUUAGAGGAGAUUAUGGACAAAGCUUAUGACAAAUUUGAUGUGAAAAUUAAAAAUGUGCAACUUCUUUUUGGGAGAACAGGUGAAGACUGGAAGAAGGCUCGUUUUCAACACCCAUCAACUUUGCACAUUUUGCAGCCUAUGGAUAUCCAUGUACAGUUGGCAAAAUCAAUGGUGGAAAGAGAUUCCAGGAUGGCAAAGUUUAAAGUGUCAGGAGGACUUCCUUUGGUGCAUGUCAGACUCUCUGACCAGAAAAUCAAGGCAAUCUCUGAUCUGAUUGAUAGCAUUCCACUGCCUCAGAAGUCAUCUGUGUCAGUUCCAAGCACAAAGGUACCAGCUAUUCCCACAAUUCCUGUUGUUGGCAAAGGGCUGCUUAGUACACCCCAGCUGUUAGCAGAAAUGGUGUCAGACUCUGAAGAAGAAUAUUUUGAUUUUGAGGAAAGCUCUGAACCAAUUGACAGUUCAGUAAUUAAAGGAGAAGAAAUAAGAAAAGAGGAGCCUGCUCAGGAGGAACUGACAGAUCUUCACCUCAAGUUUGAAAUUAAAGAAGUUUUAGUAGAGCUCACCAGACAAAAGACAAUUGAGGAAACAGUGCUUGUAUUUGAUGUAAUGCAUCUUGGGACAGAAGCUACUGUCAAAACCUACAAUUUAGCAGCUGUAUCUUAUUUGAAGCAGAUAAGCUUGGAUUACUAUGGAACUGGAGGUAAAAAAGGACCCAUUCAUCUAAUUAGUUCCUCAGACAAGCCUGGCUUAGACCUGCUGAAAGUGGAAUAUGUCAAGGCUGACAGAAAUGGGCCACAGUUUCAGACAGUUUUUAACAACACUGAACAGAUGAUUCAGGUGACUUUUUCAUCACUGAACCUCCUGCUGCACACAGAGGCCCUUAUGUCUGCUGUCAGUUUUCUAACAGCUGUUAGUCCAUCAGGCACUGAAAGAACUGGAGAGACACCAUCCAAAGAAAAAAAGCAAGAAGAUGACUCUAGAUUGAUGAAAGUGUCUAAACCUUCCAAGGAUAAGGAUGUGUUUGACUUCAAGCUUUUUGCCAAGCUGGAUGCCUUCUGUUUAAAUAUUUGUGAUGAAAAAAAGAACAUUGCAGAGAUCAAGAUACAAGGUCUUGACUCAUCUCUUUGCCUUCAGCCAAGCCAAACUGUAUUCUUUGCCCGACUUAAGGACAUAGUUGUCACAGAUGUUGAUUCAAGGACCCUUCAUAAAAAAGCUGUGUCUAUAGUGGGAGAUGAAGUUUUCAGUUUCAAUCUGACAUUAAAUCCUCAUGCUACUGAGGGAGAAGCCUACACUGACAUGUCAAAAGUGGAUGGUUCUGUAUGUUUGAAAGUGGGCUGCAUCCAGCUGGUGUACCUUCACAAAUUUCUCAUGUCUCUCCUGACCUUCUUGAACAACUUCCAGACAGCCAAGGAGACCCUGAGUGCUGCCACAGCCCAGGCUGCAGAGAAGGCUGCCACCAGUGUGAAGGACCUGGCCCAGAGGAGUUUCCGCCUCGCCAUGGACAUUCACCUGAAAGCACCAGUCAUUGUUAUCCCCCAGUCCUCCAUCUCCCCCAAUGCCAUAGCAAUAGAUCUGGGCUUGAUUAAGGUUCAGAACCAGUUUGUCUUGGUGUCCUCAGAGGGCAGUUCACUCCCUCCAGUCAUUGACAAAAUGGAUGUGCAGCUGACAAAGCUGAAACUGUCAAGGAUCACUUUGGAGACAGAUUUGACACAUCCAGAUAUUCAGAUACUUCACCCUAUUAAUUUAAGCUUGUCUGUGAAAAGAAAUCUCUCUGCAGCUUGGUUUCACAAGUUACCAGUGUUGGAGGUCACAGGGUAUUUGGAUACAAUGAAUGUUGUGUUAAGUCAAGAGGAUUUGAAUGUCUGUCUCAAAGUGUUGACAGAAAACCUGGGUGAAGCAGAAGAGACUCAAAAGGAUGCAAAAUCAGUGCUGCAGAAGGAAGGUAAAAUGAAAGAAGUGGAGAGAUCAAUUUUGAUACAGGAUAAGAGUGUUUCAGAAGGAUUGCUGUCUGAAAAGAGAAAAAUAACAAUAAAUGAAGAUGUAAUCAAUAUGCUACUUAAUUUUGAAAUCAAAGAGGUUGUAAUAACCCUGAUGAAGCAGGUUCAGAAGGAGAGAUAUCCAUUACAUAUUCUAACUGUGCUACAGCUUGGCACCAAAACCAAAAUUAGAAAUCAUGAAUUGGCUGCAGCAGCAUAUCUGAAGAAAAUUACAAUGAGAUGCACUGAAAUACAUGACUCAAAAGGAGAUCCUCUUUGCAUUCUUAAUUCCUCAAGUGAGACAGAUGAACAUCUUUUGAAAAUGGAGUAUAUUAAGGCUGAUCCUGAUGGACCAGACUUUGUUACUACUUACCAAAGCACCAAGCAAAACAUGAAUGUCAUCUUUUCCUGUUUGGAUAUAGUGCUUCACACUGAGGCUUUGCUUUCCAUCAUGAGUUUCCUCACCUUCAGUGUUCCAUCAGGUGGUCUUCCCAGUGCUGAGAAAUCUUCAGAGCACAAGCCUCCAAUGAAAGAGCAGGAAAAAGGAAGCACUCUUAGACCAGUGUCUGGUGAUGCAGCCCAUGAUGAUGUCUCUGAAUUAAAGCUCACUGCAAAGCUGAAUGCAUUCAGUAUUACAGUGUGUGAUCAGACCUGCACAAUUGCAGACAUUAGAGUACAAGGAAUGGAUGCAUCUGUGGCUAUGAAGCCUAAAGAGAUUAAAGUGUUCUCCAGACUUAAGGACAUUGUAAUUACAAAUGUUGAUCCAAAAACAAUCCAUAAAAAGGCUGUCUCCAUAAUGGGAGAUGAAGUGUUUAGAUUUCACAUGUCACUUUAUCCAGAUGCCACUGCAGGGGAGGCCUAUGCUGAUAUGUCAAGAGUGGAUGGUAAAAUGUCUCUGAAAGUGGGCUGCAUCCAAAUAAUUUACCUGCACAAGUUCUUCAUGUCUCUCUUGAACUUCCUGAACAAUUUCCAAGCAGCACAAGAAGCCCUGACUGCAGUCACUGCACAGGCAGCAGAAAUGGCUGCUUCCAGCAUGAAGGACUUUGCUAAAAAGAGCUUCCGCCUCCUGAUGGAUGUCAACUUGAAAGCUCCAGUCAUAGUUGUCCCUGAAUCUUCAGCUUCAUCUAAUGCUUUGGUAGCUGAUCUUGGCUUAAUCAGAGUUCAGAAUGAAUUCAAGCUGGUGUCCUCAGAUGAAUCUCCUCUCCCUCCAGUCAUUGACAACAUGGAUGUGCAGCUGACUCACUUGAAAUUAUCAAGGUGCAUUAUAUCCACAGAUUCACAACCAGAUUCUGAAAUUCUGCGUCCUGUGAGUUUGACUUUACUGGUCCAGAGAAAUUUAGCAGCAGCAUGGUAUCAUAAAUGCCCAACAAUUGGUAUCAAAGGAGACCUAAAACCAAUGCAGAUUGCACUCAGUGAAGGUGAUCUAACUGUUAUCAUGAAGAUUUUACUUGAAAACCUUGGAGGGGCUUCUUCCCAGCCACAUACUGUGCAGGAGAAUAUUGAGGAUAUGCAGAUACCUAAAAAAGGGAAAGCUCCACAUGAAUCAGGUGGCUCUGAGGGUACCCUUGUUGAUUCUGGACAAAAAUGUGAUUCUGCAGUUCAGUCUUCUGUGGAGUGCUCUACAUUGCUUAAAUUUGACUUCAAUUUUGAGUCCCUUUCUGUAACUCUGUACAACAGUGACACAACUCAGGGGUCUCUGCUCUCAGUGCACAGUGACAGGCUGCGCCUCGGGGAGCUCCGGCUGCACCUCAUGGCAUCCGCAGGGCACAUCUUCUCAGAUGGCUCCAUGGACAUCACUGUCAAACUCAAGGCAUGCACCUUGGAUGAUCUCAGGGAAGGAAUUCAGAAUGUCACUGCAAGAAUGAUAGACAAGAAAGAUGACACAAAUGACACUUCUAUGAUUGAUAUAAGAUACAAGCAGGAUAAAAAUGGAACUGAAGUUGUUGCUGUCCUCGACAAGCUGUACAUAUGUGCUAGUAUGGAAUUUUUGUUGGCAGUAGCACAUUUUUUCAUUAAGUCAAUGCCAGUGUCUUCAGCUGAAGGAUCUGCACAAUUCCAAUUAAAGCAAGUUGCUGCUGGGAAAUCCAAGGCAGAUACAGAGAUAUCUGUACGGCCAAACAUGACAGUAAAAGCUGUGAUUCUGGAUCCAGAAAUUGUAUUUGUUGCUAACUUGACCAGUGCUGAUGCCCCUGCCUUAAAAGUUUCCUUCCAAUGUGACUUUUCUCUGACAUCAGACAAGCUUGCACAAAGGAUGACUGCUCAAGUGAUGGCCUUCAAAGUGUUGGCCUGUGCUUUUCUCAAAGAAAAACAAGGCAAGAAUGUUACUACGGUGUUACGGCCAUGCUUUUUGGUCAUGGAAAAUAUGGUGCACACUUCAGGGUUACACACUGUGGCAGUAACAAUGGAGGAACUAACUAUUAAGAUAUCACCAAUAAUUUUGAAUACUGUUGUGACCAUUAUGGCUGCCCUAAAACCCAAAACAGCAGAGGAGGAUUCCAGAGGAGCAGCAGAAGUUUCUGAGAACUUGUGGCAAGUGAAGCCUGUGGAUGAGUGCAAUGCUUGGUUCCUUGGUGUUGACAUAGCCACAGAAGCAACAGAAACUUUUAGGGACCAUGAACAAAUUCUGAAGCAAGAGAAAUUUGAUAUUGUAGUGAAAUCAGUUCAGAUGACCUUGGAAUGUGGCCUGGGCCAUCGGACUGUCCCUUUAUUGUUGGUGGAAUCUGCAUUUUCAGGUGUCCUUAAAAACUGGUCCUCACUGAUGGAGGUCACUGCUGAUAUGUCACUGGAGGUUCAUUAUUACAAUGAAACCUAUGCAGUGUGGGAGCCCCUUAUUGAACGAGUUGAAGGAGGAAGGAAGCAAUGGAAUUUAAAGCUAGAGAUGAAGACUAACCCUGUCCAGGAGAGGAGUCUGCUGCCUGGGGAUGAUUUCAUUGUUAUUCCUGAGCCACAAACAGCAAUUAACAUCUCUUCAAUGGACACAAUGAACAUAACAAUAUCCAAAUGUUGUCUUGCUGUUUUCAGUAACCUAGCCAAGGCAUUUUCAGAAGCAACUGCAUCCACCUUUGGCUAUUCCUUUAAAGAGACAGCACCUAUCAUAGUGAAGAAUGCCCUGGGUGUUCCUCUCAAAGUGAUUCCUAGCUCCAAUUUUCGGAUAGUGGGUUCAGUUGAAAAAGAAAAUGUGAAUGAAAUAGAAACUGGUCAGAGCAUGGAACUGGAAUAUUCUGUUUUUGAAGCACCCCAGCGAGGAAGGUUGUCUGCACUGCACCGACAGGAAAGCUCUGUCUUCUCUUUAAAUUUAGAGCUGGAGGGAUACCAGGAGGCGCUGAGCAUUCCCGUGGCCAAGCCAGGCCGGCGCCUGUACAGCGUCAGGGCCGGCGCCGAGCGCCCCCCACACGACUCGGUGCUGGUGCAGAUCGACGCCACGGAAGGGAAUAAAGUCAUCACUGUGCGCUCCCCUCUGCAGAUCAAGAACCAUUUCUCAAUUCCAUUUGUGAUCUACCAGCUGGCUAAAGGCUCCAAGUUGCUGAAGCCAAUUGGCAUAUCCAAGCCAGAAGAAGAGUUUCAUGUUCCUUUGCAUUCAUACAGGUGCCAUCUGUAUGUCCAACCAACAGGAAUAUUUGAGGGUCAGUACAAGGAGUCUACAACUUACAUUGCCUGGAGGGAAGAGCUACACAGGAGUGAUGAAGUCAAGUGCUUGUUACAGUGCCCAGCCACUGAGACCAAUUUCCUGCCUCUAAUAAUCAGCUCAGCAGCUGUACCUGAUGAACUGAGUUUUAUUUCAAGUUCUGUAGAGGAGUUGGAUCCUGCCUACAUUAUCCACCUUUGCCCUACACUGACUGUGAGGAAUCUUCUACCAUACACCUUGAGAUUUUUACUUGAGGGAACCGCAGAAGACCGUGAAUUAACUGAAGGCAGUGCUGCAGAUGUUUUUCACUCAAGAAUCAGUGGAGAAAUAAUGGAGCUUGUGUUGUUAAAAUACCAAGGCAAAGACUGGCAUGGCCAUCUCAAAAUCUGUGAUGGGAUGUGUGAAUUUUUCCCUGUGCGUUUCGUGUCCCACAGUGCCUCAGAGCUGGCCGUGGAUGUUUACAUCCAUGCCAGGCGGGUCGGCGGCCACAUGGUCCUGGCUGUGUUCAGCCCCUACUGGAUUAUCAACAAGACCUCCCGAGUUCUGCAGUACCGAGCUGAAGACACUCAUGUGAAGCAUCCAGCAGACUACAGAGAUAUUGUUUUGUUCUCUUUUAAAAAGAAAAAUAUUUUUAGUAAGAACAAGAUCCAGCUCUGUAUUUCAACCAGCACUUGGUCCAACAGCUUUUCCCUUGAUACUGUGGGAAGCUAUGGAUGUGUCAGGUGUCCAGCUAAUAACAUGGACUACCUGGUUGGAGUCAGCAUCACAAUGAGCAGUUUCAACCUUACCAGGAUAGUUACCUUCACUCCAUUCUACACAAUAGCAAACAAAUCUUCUCUGGAACUUGAAGUUGGAGAAAUUGGUCCUGAUGGUUCUCUUCCAACUAAUAAAUGGAGUUAUAUCUCGGCUUCAGAGUGUCUUCCAUUUUGGCCUGAAAACUCAUCUGGUGAACUUUGUGUAAGAGUAGUUGGCUAUGAAAGCUCAUCCAAACCAUUCCUGUUUAAAGCCCAGGAUAAUGGUACUCUGCUGAAACUGGAAGAAUUGAAUGGGGGCUUGCUGGUAGAUGUGAAUGUCUCAGAGCAUUCUACUGUGAUCAGCUUCACAGAUUACCACGAGGGAGCUGCCCCAGCUCUGAUAGUGAACCACACUCCGUGGGACUCCCUCAGAUAUAAACAGAGUGGAUUACAGGAGGAAAUGGAGUUGAAACCAAGGCAAGUAUGCCUCUUUGCCUGGACAGAUCCAACCAAACCAAGAAAACUGACUUGGGGCUACUCUCAAUGUUUUGGUGAACAUGACCUACUUAAGGAUGACUGUGGCCAGUUCCCCUACAAUGCAAACACUCAGAUUCACUGGGUGUCUUUCCUGGAUGGACGACAGCGAGUGCUGCUUUUCACAGAUGAUGUGGCUCUGGUGUCCAAAGCACGACAAGCAGAGGAGCUGGAGCAACCUGACCAAGAAAUAAACUUGUCAAUCCAUAGUCUUGGACUUUCUCUAGUUAACAAUGAAAAUAAAAAAGAAAUCUCUUACAUAGGAAUUACUAGUUCUGAUGUUGUUUGGGAACGGAAACCAAGGCAAAAGUGGAAACCAUUUAAUCAAAAACAAAUAAACCUAUUGGAACAAGCAUAUCAAAAGUAUCUCUCCAAGACUGCUUUCCAAGGUCCUGGUUGGCAUAAACUGGACAGCAAUACUGAGGUGAAUUUUAGCAAGUCUCCAAUGGAAAUGCGUCUCCCCGUCAGAUGCAGCAUCCGCCGUAACUUCCUGUCAGGAAUUCAGGUUGAAUUCAAGCAGUCACCUCACCAAAGGAGCCUACGGGCUCAGCUCUACUGGCUGCAGGUUGAUAAUCAAUUACCAGGAUCGAUGUUUCCUGUUGUAUUUCACCCUGUGGCCCCUCCCAAGUCCAUUGCUUUGGAUUCAGAACCAAAGCCCUUCAUUGACAUCAGCAUCAUCACUAGAUUCAAUGAAUACAGCCAAGUCCUGCAAUUCAAGUACUUCAUGGUUCUUAUCCAGGAAAUGGCACUGAAAAUUGAUCAAGGAUUUUUAGGAGCACUUAGUGAACUUUUCACUCCAUCUACAGACCCAGAAGCUGAAAGACAAAGGUCUAAAUUAAUUCAGCAAGAUUUGGAUGCACUUAACACUGAGCUGAUGGAGUCUUCCCUAACAGAUGUGUCAAUGCUCAGCUUCUUUGAACAUUUCCAUAUUUCUCCAAUUAAGUUGCAUUUGAGUUUGUCCCUGGCUGCUGGUGGAGAAGCAUCAGAUAAGGGGGAAGAAAUGAUAGCCAUCCAUUCUCUGAAUUUGCUGUUGAAAAGUAUUGGAGCUACUCUAACAGAUGUGGAUGAUGUUGUUUUCAAACUCGCUUUCUUUGAAAUUAAAUACCAGUUCUACAAGAGAGACCAACUGAGGAUGAGAGUUAUUAGGCAUUACAGUGAACAAUUCCUGAAACAGAUGUAUGUUCUUGUACUUGGAUUAGAUGUUCUUGGAAAUCCAUUUGGUUUGAUCAGAGGGCUGUCUGAGGGAGUUGAAGCUUUCUUCUAUGAGCCAUUCCAGGGGGCUGUUCAAGGACCUGAAGAAUUUGCUGAAGGCUUUGUAAUUGGUGUUAGAAGUCUUCUUGGGCACACAGUGGGUGGGGCAGCAGGGAUGGUGUCCAGGAUCACUGGCACCGUUGGCAAGGGCUUGGCUGCCAUCACUCUGGAUGAGGAAUUUCAGCAGAAAAGGAGAGAGGAGAUGGGACGGCAGCCCAAGGACUUUGGGGAGAGCCUGGCCAAAGGAGGGAAAGGCCUGUUAAGGGGUGUUGUUGGAGGUGUGACAGGCAUCAUCACUAAACCAGUAGAAGGGGCCAAAAAAGAAGGUGCAGCUGGAUUCUUUAAAGGCAUUGGGAAGGGGCUGGUAGGAGUGGUAGCCCGGCCGACAGGAGGCAUUGUGGAUAUGGCAAGCAGCACCUUCCAGGGAAUCCAAAGGGUGGCAGAAUCAACUGAGGAAGUGUCAAACCUGCGUCCCCCACGCCUCAUCCGAGAGGAUGGCAUCAUCCGGCCCUACAACAGGGUGGAAGCUGAGGGCUAUGAUUUAUUUGAGCAAGAACUGGAAUAAUGGAGUAAACAUUUUCCAUAUUUCUUGUCUGUUUCUUUCAUGGUUUUUCAUCUGCCUUAAGUAUUUAGAUCAAGGGCAUGAUUGCAUUUACCAUGUCCUCUCCCCUUCUCAAUCUUUUCUGUGUAGCAGUUCAAUAAAGCGAUGUUUGAUGUUGUCCAGGCUCAGCAAACAAACUUGAAUAACCAUCUUCAGUAAGAUUAGAUGGGAGAGACAGGGAGGGCUUGUUUCCUGUAUAUUUAUUUUUCUGUGGAUGCUUAGCUCCUUAUGAAUGGCAACAACAGAAGGCACUUGGAAAAAAGGAUCACAGUAGGUUAGAUCCUGAAUUUAUUUAUUUAUUGGUGCUCUCCUAGAGGUAGGGCUGUGGACAGAGGGGCAGAGCAGAUCUUGAGUAAAAUUUAAAACAGUGAUAGAGAAUGGAAUUUACUUCUGGGAAAAUGUUUGUAAUAUCAAGUUUUUAUAGAAGUGCUGAGAAAACCUGAACUUGUGGUUUCUGUGCUGUGCCAUAACCCUGACAGCUACACACAUACUGACCCACUCUGCCUUCAGGUUACUACUGCUGGUUCUUUAUGAAUUUGCUCGGUUAAACAUACAGCUGGCUUAGUUCACUCUAGCUUUUAGUCACAGAAUCUUCAGGGGCUUUAUUCUUCAAAAUAAAAAUAAGUACAAACUGUCAGCUGUUAACAGGAAUUCACACACAAACACAUAUAUAAAUAAGUAUAUAUGUAUUUCUAUACUAAGCAAUGCCAUAAACUUCAUUACUAAUACAUUUUAGAAAUUAGCAAACUAAGCUUAAGCUGUUGUCAGAGCAAAUUUUUUGCCUACUAUAUGGGAAAAAUGUUGAACAGAAGCCUUUUUGCUUUUAGAAUGUAAUGGUCAAUUUAAAAUCAUUCAAAAGAACAUUUAGUGAGUUUUUUUAGAGGAUUAAAUGAAAUUAAGUUGUGAUAUACUAAGCAGGCCCAAUUUUUUCUUUUUGAAUGUUUUGGUUUGGGUUUUUUUUCUCCCUAUGUUUUUUAUAUCUGGCAAAAAGGAAAAGAUGGCACAGUCAACACGGAAAAUUUGAUAUUAUGCAGUUCCUUCACAUCUGGUAUUUGUAUUUUUCUUAAGAGGUGUAGAUUGGAAUGGGAUGCAAACCAGGAAUAUAUCCUCUGUACAGUUCACCAAGUACAGUUGGUUUCUUUCAACAAGUCACUUAAUGGAAUACAGGAGAGGUUUAAUUAACUGUUCUUGGUUUUCGUGCUAGAGGUCAGUGUUGGGAAGGCUUUGUUUUCUAAUGUAAGCUAGCAAGCAAUGUAAAGCAAGACAGGACAGUGUCUUUACAUGAAAUUGGAUAUUUCAUGAAAAAAAGAGUCAGUCCUAUGUGCAUUUACAAAUUUAAUCACAAUAGGUACAAGUGCUGCUUAUUUUUGAAUCCUAUAUUAGAAGUAGUUCAACCAGGACCCACACCUUCUCAUCUACUUUAGCUACAUUCAAUGCAUAUGUCCCUUUAAAAUAAAUAUAAACUCACGGGGUGGAAACCUUGUAAGGUUACCUUAAGGAUCAGAUGCCUCAGUACCAUCCAGUGAUUGGAUGGAAAAAAUGUUUUACUUAAUUACUUUUGUGUGAAAUGUAGGCAUUAGAGCUUGUCUUAGAGGAGCAAAAUGUAGGUUUUAAAAGGAAAGUGAGGGGUUUGGUGCAAACUGAGGGUGAAGUAGAUGAGUUGAGUUGUGUGAAGUUGUUUCUGCAGUUCCUUGUCCCAGAAGUGCUGGCUGUGGUGUCUGUGGGAUGUGCUCAGUGAGUCCCAGAGCUGGGAGUGAGAUGUGAUGUGAGCAGGCUGUGCCUCAGCUCAUGGGCAGCAUAUUGGAAUAUGUAUCCCAAUAUAACCAGUUAGAUGGUGCCUAGGCCAGUUCUGACCCUCGCUGCUGGGCCAAAGGCAGCACUGUGGUGUUUUACCCCAGAGAUACUUUGGCUGGCGGCAGAGUGCAGCGGGGCACAAGACAGGACUCUGUUCUCCUCAGGAGAGAGAGCUUCUGGCGAUAGUGGAGAUAAAAGGAGUGGAUUCUGCUAGAAGGUUGCCAGAUGUUUAUUCCAUUGGUACAGAGGCGUCUGCACUGGGCCACUGCUGCUAACAGAAUGCCGGCCACAUGGUCUCAUUAACCUUAUAAGCUCGGGGACAGGGGAAGGGGAGGGGACAGGUGAGUUACCAACCAGCUGAAGGGGGCAGGGUCUCAAGGGAGGAUGACACUUAGACAGGCCAAUGACCCCCAGGCCUGAGGAGCAUCCUUUGAAAUCGACGAAUCACACGACGCCUUGCUGGUAUGUUAGCCUGAUUGACAGGGCACACUCAGCAAGGGGGCGAGGGGGCAGGGAGAGAGGCAUAGGCACACCUGGGAAGGGACUCGGAAGUUUAAAACAGGACAUUGCAACACACCGCAACAGCAGCACACCCUGGCUUUGCUACUCAGAAAUGCACAGCAGAGCUCAGAGGGCAAAGAGGGCAGCUCCAGGGGAAUUGUUUGCCGAGGAAUCACUUCUCAAGAGUUCAGUCAUGGUGUGAGCAGUGUUGGAGCUGAGCUUUGCAGGAGCAGGUGCUGGAGCCCUGGUGUGGUGGGGCUGUGCCUGUGCUGGCAGGGCUGUGCUGGCCCGGCUCCCCAGGGCUGCCAUGAUGUCACUCAUGCAUUAUUCAAUGCCCGUGGCAUUACUUUGUUUCACAUCCCAGUUAAAGCAGGAGCUUUAUAAAGAAUGCAGAACACCUCAUGAAUAAUUGAGGCAGGGUGGUGAGGCAGUGUUGUGUGGCAGAGCGUAGACUAUGCUGGAAACUGCAGAUUCUAUUUCUGCUGUGUAAAUCUGCAUUGCUUCUUUCAUUUCCAUGUAAAAUAAGAAUGAGUUAACUUCUUCAAAGUGCUGUACUAUGCUCAUAAAAAUAACAGCUUUUGAUUAAGAUGUCUAAAUUUUAAGAGUGUGCAGAUCAUGGAGUAAUUUCCAUCAAGUGCAAGCUCCUUUUUACAUAAUGCCACCACCAUUGUGCUGGCAUCUAUCAGGUGUAUUGAGAAUAGCUCACAAACACAGCAUCUUUUAGGCACAGGCCUCAGUGGGAGCUCUUACUUUGGUAACAUAUUGCAUGUAAAAUCUAAAAAUACUAUUGGGAUUGUUUCUGAAGUUAGGAGAAACAGGCUUUCUCUCCAAAGCUUUGAGUUUGACUAGAGAAAUAUGCUUAUGAAUAAAUCUGUUUAAAUAUGUGGCAUGUCUAAUUUCUUCAUAUUCAACAAAAGGAUUCAGAAUAUGGAUUGCAGCCUUUGAAUUACAGUUCUCACAUGGUGGUGGGUUUUCUAUUUCUUAAAUUUUUUACUUGUUUUUGAAACAGCUAAGGUUCAGGUAUAAAAUGUGAGUUCAUAUUUUCAUUUUAGUCAUAUGCUGCCAUGUUUCUUCUAAUGUUUUGAAGAGGCUUUGAGAUAAGCAGUUGUUCUGGCAUCUUUUUUUCCUUUCAUAUGUACACUGUACAGUUUCAGAAAUUUUUAAGAUGGACAGAAAGGGAUAUUUUUUAUAGAAGAUGUUGGUUGACCCUAUGGUUUUGCUUACUAAAAAAUGCUGGAUUAAAAUGUGUUUCAAAACACAACAUCACUAGAGUGCAAGUCUAGGAAAACACGAUGCUGUUGAUUUCAGCUCUUGAAUAUUCAUCCGCUUUUGAGAUUAAAGGAUUUUUUGGAGUCAGUUGUGAUUUAUGAUGAUGCUUUAAGAUAUUUGUUGAACUUUUGAAUAUAUGAAAAUAAAAUGCAAAUAAAAAAAAUUCAAAUGUUCUUUUAAUUGAUUCUUAUGUAAGCUGAUCUUUCAAUUUUGGUUACUGAAACUGCAUAGAAUGAAACCUGUUAAUCACAGACAGACAAGUGUGGAGUCAAGUGCAGCCUCUAUUGUCAUCUCAUUGGUUUUUGGGUCUAUCUAAGGAAAUAAAAAAGAAAUGGCUAUUUACAAGAAGUAACUAAAAACCUACUGAAUUCUUAGUUCUUCCUCUUUAGGUUGUUGUUACUGGUUUGUCAGAAACUUGAGGAAUGAGACCUUGAGGAAUUUACUUGAAUUCCACAGUAAGAGCUGUAAAAUGAACUGAAAGUUGUCCUACUUUGCUCUGAAGAAUAUCAAACCAAUUUUGGGGCACCCAUUUGCUAAAAGUUCAUCUGAAAUAUUUGCAUUCUGCAUCCAGGCAUUCUUGCUUAUGAUUCCCCAUGUUUCUACACAGGAGCUGCCCAUUUUCCCUUAAAACAGUUUAUAUCAUAAAAAAGGUGCUUGUAUUGACCUGGAGGGUGCUAUUGACCUUGGAGGGUACUGAAUAAAGUCAAUGUACAUUGACUUUAUACUUAUAUAAUUGUCUGGCUACUUUUUGCUAAUUAAACACUAUUUUUCAGUGUAUUUUUUAAAAGACUUACUGCAUAUUAGGAAAACCAGUAGUUGAUAUAGAUUUAUUGUCAUACUGACUUUGAGGCUAGGUUCCCACUGGUAGCAUGUUAUUAAUUUCAUACUUUAAUCUUUUCCUGCAUGAUGUUUGAUGUGUGUUCCUUUCCCACAGACAUGCUCAGGUACCACUCUGUGAGUCUUGCUUGUCUUUAAUCCAGGGUUAUUGGGAGCUUGGUGUGGGGGUGACUGUGAGCCUGUAUUCUGUGCUGUGUUGUUGGUGGAAUAUUGCAAUCCUGGUGACAUGCUCUAGGAAACAUUUUACUUCAGUCAAAGAGUAUGUACAGAAUGGGAAAUCUGAAAAAAACCUCAAUGAAUCAGUGCCAAAAAAAUCCUAGGAGUAUCAUAGGAUCCUAUCCUUCAGUACUUUAUUUCAAAACUUUUUCUGUGCUUGUAGGUUGUCACUUGAGUUGUGGUUGUCUAAUCAAAAUGUGAUGAGUGAUUUAAUCUGCACUUUCAUACACUUUUGUAUUUUGGGUAUUGAAUGGUCAUAUCUGCUCAGUUCAGAACCCUGAUUUUGAGGUGUAUUGAGCAUUUGUAUCUUGAGAGUUUGUUUCUGAGGGUCAGAGUCAUGUGCCUUAUAAAAAUGCAUGACCUUUGCAGGGUUUUCACUCUUGAAUGAAGCCUGCAGCAUGGGCUGUGGCAGCAUGAGCAUUAUUAAACAAUUGCUAGCACAGAAAGGAAAUCAAAGCUGAAGAAAUAGUGUGAUACAGCAGUGUCAGUGUUGUGCCUUUGAGUGGAAUGGAUCAGACUUCUCAGUGACUCAGCUUCAGGACUGAGAGCACUGUGAGAACCUCCCUUUAAAGAACUAACCAUGAGAAGUUGCACAUCAGGAAGUUGGAAAAAGAGGUUUAUCGAUACCACUGUCCAAUUCCAAGAGGCAGAAGAGCAAAUCUUAUUGUUACCAACAGG